rnacentral:rRNA from 1 species
AGAUCAUCAGGUUGGUCGUGCCUUUGGUAUGUACUUUCCUCGAUGGUUCCUCCUUCUUGAAGAUCCGUAAUGCCAUUAAUUUGGUGUUGCGGGGAAUCAGGACUGUUACUUUGAAAAAAUUAGAGUGUUUAAAGCAGGCAAUCGCUUGAAUACAUUAGCAUGGAAUAAUGAAAUAGGACGUUCGAUCCUAUUUUGUUGGUUUCUAGGAUUGACGUAAUGAUUAAUAGGGAUAGUUGGGC